AUGCCUCUUUUGGUGUGGAAGAAUUGGGCUCCUCCCAAAUGCAAAUUUUUUGCUUGGUUGGCCAUCAACAAUAGGAUUUGGACGGCGGACCGGCUUCAGCGCAGGGGCUGGCCCAACUGUAACCUUUGCCCGCUAUGCAAACAAACGCAAGAAUCAGCAGCUCACCUUCUCUUCCAGUGUCGUUACACGGUUAGAGUUUGGGGAAUGAUCAAAACAUGGCUCGGUUUACAUGAUGUCCAUCCUACAGAUUGGGGAGGCAUGGUUUCCGUUAAGGAGUGGUGGCGCAACAUAGCUUCCGGGAGGUCAGAAUCUCGAAGGGCGCUUCUUUCCCUUAUGCUUCUUAUCUCUUGGGAAAUUUGGAAGGAGCGAAAUGCACGUGUGUUCCGCAGCACGGCAAUUCCGGUCGGGGUGCUUGUGACUCGCGUCAAAGCGGAAACUUCGCUGUGGUGCCUCGCGGGGGCGAAAUAUUUGUGUAAUAUAAUGCCGCGAGAGUGA
rnacentral:rRNA from 1 species